rnacentral:rRNA from 1 species
CGACGCCGCUUGGAGGAGGAAGCCCUUCGGGGUGUAAACUCCUGAACUGGGGACGAAAGCCCCGUGUAGGGGGAUGACGGUACCCAGGUAAUAGCGCCGGCCAACUCCGUGCCAGCAGCCGCGGUAAUACGGAGGGCGCGAGCGUUACCCGGAUUUACUGGGCGUAAAGGGCGUGUAGGCGGCCUGGGGCGUCCCAUGUGAAAGGCCACGGCUCAACCGUGGAGGAGCGUGGGAUACGCUCAGGCUAGAGGGUGGGAGAGGGUGGUGGAAUUCCCGGAGUAGCGGUGAAAUGCGCAGAUACCGGGAGGAACGCCGAUGGCGAAGGCAGCCACCUGGUCCACUUCUGACGCUGAGGCGCGAAAGCGUGGGGAGCAAACCGGAUUAGAUACCCGGGUAGUCCACNCCCUAAACRAUGCGCGCUAGGUCUUUGGGGUUUACCUGGGGG